AGAGUUUGAUCCUGGCUCAGAAUGAACGCUGGCGGCAUGGAUUAGGCAUGCAAGUCGAACGCUCACUUCGGUGAGAGUGGCGAAAGGGUGAGUAACGCGUGAGUAAUCUGCCCUCAAGUUUGGAACAACUGUUGGAAACGACAGCUAAUACCGGAUGUGAAUACUUAGAUGCAUGUUUAAGUAUUUAAAGGUUUACUGCUUGAGGAUGAGCUCGCGUCCCAUUAUGCUAGUUGGUAAGGUAACGGCUUACCAAGGCUAUGACGGGUAGGUGGUCUGAGAGGAUGGUCACCCACACUGGGACUGAGACACUGCCCAGACUCCUGCGGGAGGCUGCAGUCGAGAAUCUUCCGCAAUGCGCGAAAGCGUGACGGAGCAAUGCCGCGUGAAGGAUGAAGGCUUUCGGGUCGUAAACUUCUGUCAGAGGGGAAAAAUUAUGAUGGUACCCUCAGAGGAAGCCACGGCUAACUACGUGCCAGCAGCCGCGGUAAUACGUAGGUGGCGAGCGUUAUUCGGAUUUACUGGGCGUAAAGGGUCCGUAGGGGGAUACAUAAGUUUGAUGUGAAAUUUCGAGGCUCAACCUCGAACCUGCAUUGAAAACUGUGUAUCUAGAAUUCGGUAGAGGUAAGUGGAAUUUGUGGUGUAGCGGUGGAAUGCGUAGAUAUCACAAGGAACAUCAAAGGCGAAAGCAGCUUACUGGGCCGAUAUUGACCCUGAGGGACGAAAGCUAAGGUAGCGAAAAGGAUUAGAUACCCUUGUAGUCUUAGCCGUAAACGUUGUACACUCGAUGUCGGGGGAAUUAGCCCCUUCGGUGUCUAAGCUAACGCGAUAAGUGUACCGCCUGGGAAGUACGGUCGCAAGACUAAAACUCAAAGGAAUUGACGGGGGCCCGCACAAGCGGUGGAGCAUGUGGCUUAAUUCGAGGCAACGCGAAGAACCUUACCUGGGUUUGACAUAUAUAUGACCGCUCCCGAAACGGAGUUUCUCUUCGGAGCAUAUAUACAGGUGCUGCAUGGCUGUCGUCAGCUCGUGCCGUGAGGUGUUCGGUUAAGUCCGGCAACGAGCGCAACCCAUGUCACUAGUUGCCAACACGUAAUGGUGGGGACUCUAGUGAGACUGCCCGAGUCAAUCGGGAGGAAGGCGUGGACGACGUCAAGUCAGUAUGGCCCUUACACCCAGGGCUGCACACGUGCUACAAUGGCGACUACAGAAGGCAGCAAUACCGCGAGGUGGAGCUAAUCCGUUAAAAGUCGCCCCAGUUCGGAUAGGAGUCUGCAACUCGACUCCUUGAAGUCGGAAUCGCUAGUAAAGGCGUAUCAGCUACGACGCCUUGAAUACGUUCCCGGGCCUUGUACACACCGCCCGUCACAUCACGGGAGCCUGGUGCACCCGAAGCCGCCGUACCAACUGCUUGCAGAGGAAGGCGUCGAAGGUGUGCCCGGUAACAGGGAUGAAGUCGUAACAAGGUAACC
rnacentral:rRNA from 1 species